CCGGCUUGUUCCGGCGGGCACAGCCGUCGCCCCAGCUGACCACGCCGCCCAGGAACAUGCGGUUGCCGGAUGGAAUGGAGAGUGGCCCACCAGAGUCCCCCUGAUGCAGACAAAUGCAGCCACAUAAAAUCAUGUGGCGCGCCGGAUCCGCCCCACCCGGAUCUUGAGUUUGACACCUGUGCCUUAUGGGAAGGUGCUACGACAAAUUGAGGACAUCUUUAAAGUAUUCUCCCCACCAAUUCACAAGAUGGUAGACCAGAAUUUCCUCCAAGCUGUCCGGACGUCUUCAUCUCAUUGAGCCUCAAUGAAUUCUUCAGACACCCGAGUUUCUGCCUUAGCGACUGGCAAAGCUGCUUUCUGCUUGGCCACUCAGUACCCAUUUGCUUCCUCAGGGGUCCCAGAAGCCAAAAAUACCUGUGAAGACUUCUCUCAGCUUGAUGGCAUACCUUAGCGUUGGUGUCCAUCAACGGGUUCAGGGACUGUUGCAACAACAGGCACUGACAACCUUACAGCCACAGCAAUCAAGUCUCAAUAUUACAUUGUGGCAAAUUUUAAUUGACUUGCCACAAUGUAAUUACUAAUAACGUAUAUUUGGUCAAAGCUCUUAGCCAGUGACAUAUAGUGACACAUAGAACAAUUGCAUGCUUUUCCAUUAAAUGCCAGAAGAUAUACAGUUAACCUGUAUAUCCACAGUUUGUGACAGUUUUCUUUUGUGGUGUGCUGUGAGAUGUAUGUAACGUAAAAUAUCUAACUUGGUUCAAUUAAGGUUUGGAGAAAAAUAUUUUGCAGCUGUAGGCAUCCCAUGUGGCCAGAACAGCCCCUCCACAACAACAUAAAGUAAUAUUCAAGCU